rnacentral:rRNA from 1 species
GACGUAGGGCGCGAGCGUUGUCCGGAUUUAUUGGGCGUAAAGAGCGCGCAGGCGGUCGUUCAAGUCGCGUGUGAAAGCCCCCGGCUCAACUGGGGAGGGUCACGCGAUACUGAUCGACUCGAAGGCAGGAGAGGGAAGUGGAAUUCCCGGUGUAGUGGUGAAAUGCGUAGAUAUCAGGAGGAACACCGGUGGCGAAGGCGGAUCUCUGGGCCAUUACUGACGCUGAGGAGCGAAAGCGUGGGGAGCGAACAGG